rnacentral:rRNA from 1 species
UACAGAGGGUGCAAGCGUUAAUCGGAAUUACUGGGCGUAAAGCGUGCGUAGACGGUUAUUUAAGUCAGGUGUGAAAGCCCCGGGCUCAACCUGGGAAUUGCAUUUGAGACUGAAUAGCUAGGGUGCGGAAGAGGGAAGCGGAAUUUCCGGUGUAGCGGUGAAAUGCGUAGAUAUCGGGAAGAACACCCGUGGCGAAGGCGGCUCUCUGGGACGGUACUGACGCUGAGACGCGAAAGCGUGGGGAGCGAACAGG